GAGAGCAGCUCUAGCCUGACCCUGCGGGUUUAUGGCACAUUUGGCAGUCAACUUCAGCCUGUGUCAAGCAGACAUGGCUGGCCCAAGCACAGCCUCACAGGAGACAGCACCUCCAUGCCAUCUGCACAUGUUCUCCCUCUGUGAUAUCACU